UAGAUGCACACGUAUCCGACCUCUAUAGGUAUCCACAUGAAGCAUGAUUAGAUCGACCUCCCUAGAGUGAUAGCUCCUUGCAGAGAUCCUUGAAGGCUGAUCUAAGGAGGAGGAAAGAAUUCAUGGAAGAAGACAAGGGAGAACUCCUCUCUUAUUUUGCUCUCACCCAAAACCCUAGCGCAUCUAAGAGGAACCCACGCCCA
rnacentral:lncRNA from 1 species